rnacentral:lncRNA from 1 species
UCCUUCUUCUGGUGCAGCUUCAACUUGGUCUAUGACUUCAUUUAAACCUUUUAGAAGCCCAAUAGCUUCAUCUUCAUGUUCCUGUCUCUAGAAAGAAUGUUAGUUUCAUCAAAAACUAUAUGUACAUUUUCUUCACGACCCCAAACCGGACUCGGUACGGCAUCUCUCGUGAAGACAAGGCCAGCUGACAUAUUCCCAUUUCCAAUCAUAAGCAAUAACAUAAAAAUUAUUAAGUCGUAAACAUGAUAAAAUCUCAAAAACAAGCAGUUAACGGUGUAAUUUGCGGAAAAC